rnacentral:rRNA from 1 species
AUUGAACGCUGGCGGCAGGCUUAAUACAUGCAAGUCGAACGAGUGGCGGACGGGUGAGUAAUGCUUGGGAAUCUGUCAUAUGGAGGGGGAUCACUACGGGAAACUGUAGCUAAUACCGCGUACCAUAGGAUGAGCCCAAGUGGGCUUAUGUAGGUGGUGAGGUAAAGGCUCACCAAGGCGACGAUCUCUAGCUGGUCUGAGAGGAAGACCAGCCACACGGGGACUGAGACGCGGCCCAGCCUCCUGCGGGAAGCAGCAGGGGGGAAUAUGGCGAUAGGGGGGCAACCUGAAGCAGCCAAGCCGCGUGAAUGAAGAAGGCCUGGGGGUUGUAAAGUUGUUUCGGUAGCGGGGCGUUAACGACAGAAGAAGCACAGGAGAACACCGUGCCAGCAGCCGCGGUAAUA